AUUGAACGCUGGCGGCAGGCCUAACACAUGCAAGUCGAGCGGAUGAAGGGAGCUUGCUCCUGGAUUCAGCGGCGGACGGGUGAGUAAUGCCUAGGAAUCUGCCUGGUAGUGGGGGAUAACGUCCGGAAACGGGCGCUAAUACCGCAUACGUCCUGAGGGAGAAAGGGGGGGAUCUUCGGACCUUCCGCUAUCAGAUGAGCCUAGGUCGGAUUAGCUAGUUGGUGGGGUAAAGGCCUACCAAGGCGACGAUCCGUAACUGGUCUGAGAGGAUGAUCAGUCACACUGGAACUGAGACACGGUCCAGACUCCUACGGGAGGCAGCAGUGGGGAAUAUUGGACAAUGGGCGAAAGCCUGAUCCAGCCAUGCCGCGUGUGUGAAGAAGGUCUUCGGAUUGUAAAGCACUUUAAGUUGGGAGGAAGAGCAGUAAGUUAAUACCUUGCUGUUUUGACGUUACCAAAAGAAUAAGCACCGGCUAACUUCGUG
rnacentral:rRNA from 1 species